CUUGUUUAUUGUUUUACGUAUUGUAGAUUCGCUAACAGGGAUGUUAGCAUUUGCCAGCAUGGUCAGACUGGCCCACCGGGAUACCGGGAAAUUUCCCAGUGGGCCGCGGCAUCUGGGGGCUGCGCUGAGCAUGUAUGUGCCACCGGGUGGCCGGUCCGGUGGCACACACUCUGAGGGGGCCGGUGGGUUGCCGGCCGCAUUCCACGCUGGAGCCGCUGGGCCGGCGGCACUCCUGUCACUGAUGCUGAGGAGUGAAGAAGGAGGAGGGAGGAGCAUGUCUCUGUACCAUGCUCCCUCGCGAUUCCUGUGCUGGGGAUUGUGGGACCGAGGCUGGCAGGG